GACGAACGCUGGCGGCGUGCCUAAUACAUGCAAGUAGAACGCUGAAGGAAGGAGCUUGCUCUUUCUGGAUGAGUUGCGAACGGGUGAGUAACGCGUAGGUAACCUGCCUGGUAGCGGGGGAUAACUAUUGGAAACGAUAGCUAAUACCGCAUAAAAUGGAUUAUCGCAUGAUAAUUCAUUGAAAGGUGCAAAUGCAUCACUACCAGAUGGACCUGCGUUGUAUAGCUAGUUGGUGGGGUAACGGCUCACCAAGGCGACGAUACAUAGCCGACCUGAGAGGGUGAUCGGCCACACUGGGACUGAGACACGGCCCAGACUCCUACGGGAGGCAGCAGUAGGGAAUCUUCGGCAAUGGACGGAAGUCUGACCGAGCAACGCCGCGUGAGUGAAGAAGGUUUUCGGGUCGUAAAGCUCUGUUGUAAGAGAAGAACGAGUGUGAGAGUGGAAAG
rnacentral:rRNA from 1 species